rnacentral:rRNA from 1 species
AACGCGAAGAACCUUACCCAGGCUGGACCGGAGACAGGUGCUGCAUGGCUGUCGUCAGCUCGUGUCGUGAGAUGUUGGGUUAAGUCCCGCAACGAGCGCAACCCUCGCCCUUAGUUGCCAUCAUUCAGUUGGGCACUCUAAGGGGACUGCCGGUGAUAAGCCGCGAGGAAGGUGGGGAUGACGUCAAGUCCUCAUGGCCCUUACGGGGCUGGGGCUACACACGUGCUACAAUGGCGGUGACAGUGGGAUGCAAUGGGGCAACCCUGCGCAAAUCUCAAAAAGCCGUCUCAGUUCGGAUUGUGCUCUGCAACUCGAGCACAUGAAGUCGGAAUCGCUAGUAAUCGCAGAUCAGCACGCUGCGGUGAAUACGUUCCCGGGCCUUGUACACACCGGUAUCUC